GGCCGGGUAGCUCAGUGGUAGAGCACCAUUCCUUUAAACUGGCGGUCGUGGGUUCAAUCCCCACCUCGGCCA
rnacentral:tRNA from 1 species